UAACAUUUGGAGAACAAAUGCUAAUACGUAUAAUAAUUAAACCGCAUUGGUUUUAGUUUAAAAGAUGGUCUUGCUAUCACUAAGAGAUGGUCCCGCGGUGUAUUAGUUAGUUGGUGAGGUAAUGGCUCACCAAGACAAUGAUACAUAGCCGAGUUGAGAGACUGACCGGCCACAAUGGGACUGAGACACGGCCCAUACUCCUACGGGAGGCAGCAGUAGGGAAUCUUCCACAAUGGACGAAAGUCUGAUGGAGCAACGCCGCGUGUGUGAUGAAGGGUUUCGGCUCGUAAAACACUGUUGUAAGAGAAGAAUGACAUUGAGAGUAACUGUUCAAUGUGUGACGGUAUCUUACCAGAAAGGAACGGCUAAAUACGUG
rnacentral:rRNA from 1 species